UAGUUUUGUUGAGUAUAGGUUUUCA
rnacentral:misc_RNA from 1 species